UACUUUCACUUUCGAUUUACCACUUCCGGGUACAUCGGCAGACUUUUUUACCGUUACGCAUAUAGGUAACCCGAAGAACUCGAGGGAUAUAGAAGUUAAAUUUGUUUCGGUCCUCUUCAGAUUUGAAGGAAUGGAUAGCGCGGGUCAAAAAAUGCAGAUGUAUAGACAAGGAGGUAUAUGACAAGUAUAGAAUAUACAGUUGUUCAAUAUGGACCAUUAAUCAAACUGUUUGCACUGCCUAUGAUCCUGAAAUAUCUAUACAUCAAAGAUAAAAAGGGAAAAGAUGAAGGAGGAUUUGUCCAUGAAGACCUUUAUUUGCAACUACCAUCUUCCAGUUCCUUAAUUUGAGAAUGAUAUCAGAGAACA